UGCCCUGGCAGAAAGUUAGUGUCAGGAUCCACAUGGGUGAUAAUAGAAUCAAGGUGGGCACCGCAGCCAUGAGAACGUGGAGGGGAAUUUUCAGUCCCUGUCCCCUCCCCCCCCCCCAGGGGAGCUGAGGGGGCCCCAAGCCACGGCCGGGCGCAGAGGCUACGACUCUCAAAGUCCUCGUGGGGAGUGACCUCGCGUCACCCUUCCCCAUGCCACCCGCGCUGCCCCGUUCUGCUCACCCAAGAAAGACCUCAUGCCAACACUGUAAUCAAUUAGCCCCGAGGAAUGGACAAAGGGGGUCGGGAAAUUAAUUUGGGUUUUCUCUCCCGAGGCCCUGCCUGGCAGCCAGCUCUCCCAACACCCACAUGUCCCAACUGCUCCGUCCAUCAGCUCUUGUCCAACUUAACUAUUCAUUUUAUGUAUUUUAAUUUGGGCAGAACAUUUAUUUGGCUUAAAUCUCCUUUUCAGGGGUUGGAAUGUGCCUUCCACACACAGGCAGAGAUGCUCUGCUCGAAUUUCGUCAGGAGUUUAGUUUACAAAGAUAGUAACUGAGCUAUUAAAACCAACAACCCCUUUUAAAGCAAACAGACCAUUAAAAUAUAGGAACAGUUUAUGGCAUAAAUAAAAUGGGGGAUAUAGAUUAUUUAAAGAUAAGAUUUUCAAGAAACAGGGAUAAAAAAACAUUUAAAUAAUUUCUCCACGAUAUAUUUUUUUUUUCUUUACAAAGUGAACUUCAAAAUGCAAAUGCAAAUUAAAAAGAAAGGCACAGAAAGACAUUAAAAAUCCAUCUUCUUAGUGAAGGCAUACAAAAAAGGCUUGACUUUUCCUUCUAGAUCUGUAGAUGAUUUCUGAGGGGCGGGGUGCAGGGAACUACUUGAAUUCAUAAAUGGCAGGAUUUACCCAGCUUGGGAAGCCACAUUGUGGAAAAAGAAGCGAGACAUUUGCUUCUAGAUCAUUCUCUCGAGCCGGCUGACAGAUACAAUAAUUUCGUCCAUUAGUCCGAUCCAUUGUCUUCCUUCGGCACAGAAGUCCUGUACCGCGGAGGGAGAGACAGCCCUGCCCCUCCACGGCCACCCGGCAGGCUGUGCCUACCCGGCACUUCCUCCUCUUUUCCAGGAAACACUUCUUACUUACCAUUCCCCUGCGCUCCGGCGUUGACUCUCGGAGACGCCGUGGAGAAGGCGAGCUUGACUUCUGUGCUCAGAAGAUGCUCUCUUGAGCGUCCGACAGAUGUUCGACGGCUGGCCGAGGGCGCGCACUUCUGGCUACUGGGUGAUGGCCUGCUCAGACCCCCCCCCCCACCACACACACACACCGUGCAGGGCCAGGGCUGGGAGGGUCCUUGCACACCUUUGAACGUCACUGCACAGAUGGGGAUGCUGAGGCACAGAGAGGCUCUGAGUUCCCAGGCUGCUUCUCUUUCCCCUCGGCCAAGCAUCCAGACUGGAAGGUCCUUCGAGUGAACACGAGGCAUCCGGUCCACCUCCCUGCACGGGAAGUGAGCCUUCCAUUAUCGGAGCUGGCCCAGGGCUUGGCACACAGAAAGCACCCACUAAACGUUUGCUGCGUUCAUGAAAAAAGGCACCACUGCCACAGCCAGACUUUCCCUUUGCCGGGACGCCUGGGAGUCAGCGACAAAAGGCCUGCUCUCACCGGAGCAGGAUGUUCCUUUGUUCUGAGAGCUGGGUGUCCCCAGGUGAGCACCGUAUCCCUCACAGCUAAAGGGACAGGGUGUCCCCAUUCUCACCCAGCCCCUCAGCCUGGCCCAUGGGAGACACUCGGCCAACGUGUUUUCUCUCGUCUCAGGAGACAGAGGCUCGUUUUCCUCCCGGAAGAAGGGCUACCUGAAAAUGAACGCAUGUUUUUAAAAACCACUGCACUGGGGGGCACCUUGGGAGGGCACACCCAGAGGCCAGCGGGUGCUGAGGCUGAGUCCCGCGCGGCCCCAGAUCCUGAGUGCACUCAGGAGGAGGGGGCAGCCAACUGCCGAGCCUUUAUUAAUGUCAUCCGUCUGUACUUAGACGAGGUACAAGAGAUUACAAGGGCUGAACUGGGUGUGGGCGAGGCUGGUGAGUGUGACCAUGACUCGGGCAGAGGCCCAGCCUGGGCAGGACAAGAGAGGAACCCAGGCUGGUGGGUGGGGCGCAUGAGUUCUCGGCCGGGUCUCAGAAAUCGGGCGGAGUGCCAGGGCCAAGGAGAAGGGGUCCCCAGCCCCUGAGCUCAGUUCACGAGAGGGUGCAGAGGCUGGGGACCUGAGCCUGCAGGGGACAAAAGUCUGCGCCCUCAGCACUUAAAGUGGGAAGUCAGCACAGGGCAGGGCAGAGGAUAUGCCAAAGACUCAUACCUUCAAUGCUGUUCUAAUUCUUAAAAGUCGAAUCAGAAGAGUCGUCCCCUCUUUUCCCCCAACUGGGCCCAUAUCUGUCCGCCUGGAGCUAUUUCAGCCACACGGGAGACCUGAGUUCUGGGCUUGGCCCUAUUAGGGUUCUCCCAAGGUCCUGGACAGAACAGCGAGCCCAGGCCCGGCUAUGUGAUGCUUUGAGGGGUCUGGUGGGGUUGGGUGGGGGCCACAUGAAUGAUCACAAAAGAGCUACCUUCCCUCUCUCUAAGUUUCCGGCUCCGUGUGCAAACACUGGCCGGUCCUGUCCACGCCCGACAGUUACAAGAAAGAGGGUUUCCGGAGAACGUGGUCUCCUGGUUUUCUUCCUUAUUUUGAGCAGAAGCAGAGUGAGACCAGAAGCCGGAGGCAGGCCCGAGGGCAACCCCAGCGGAUAUCCUGGGCGUCCACUUCUCCUCACCCCUCCUCGGGGCCCCGGGACCGCAGCCCCACGAAUCUGGGGGGCAGCGGCCGUCUCCCGCUGUGUGUAGAGGCCGCCACCGGCCCCGGCGAGCACGGCCUGAGGACUCGCGGGCCCCGGGCCGCGUCGUGGGCAUACUGUUACGAGCUCACAUACGUUGAGAGUAACCUUUCAGCAGAACAGUUUGAGUUAAAAUAAAGGGAUUGAAAAAGAGUACAAUGACCAAAAAAAUCUAUAAAAAUGCAAUUGCGCUAAUAUAAUUUUAUCACUUAUUUAAAAAUUUAGUCGACCCAAAAGACUACCAAGUGUGAAAUUAAGGAACAGCUCCUCACUUUUAUGGAAAUCACUCUUCCUCACUUGUCUAAUAGCCUGAUUUUGUCAGAUCAUUUAUUUCCAUGGUUUUAAAAUGAGCUUGACAGACAGAAUUUUAUAACACCACUUUACUGCAAAUAAGAACAUCAUUUUCGCUUAUUAAAACUGAAGCUUAGAGAAAGCAUUAAAAUUAACAGUUCACUCCGCUUUAACCUUUCGAAUACUGCCGUGACUUUACACCGGAGAUCGUGAGCACCGGAGGCCGGCGGUCCCGGGGUCGGUGCUGGAGGUGCGACGGGGCGGACAGCGCAGGCCGGCAGGGGGCUCGCGGAGGACACGCACACCCAACCGGAAAUGGUCGUGAUGGGGCCCAGAGGAGCGCCCCCGCGGCCCGGCCAUCAGCACCAGCCUCGGGAAGCCCAGCGCAAGGCCCCCCGGGAUUCCCGGGGCGGCACUUCCUUUAACGUGGAGCAAGGGGCCUGCUUUUCUACCCAAGAGACUUAAGAAAUUAAUCGAGGGCUAGGCUCGCAGUCUCCCGCGCUGGUCCUUCCUGCCUUUAUUCAACAAAUAUUGUUGAGCACCGUCCUUCCACGUACCCGGCACCGUUCCAGGCCCGUGAGAUGACACCUGAGUUAGACCAAGUCCCUGUCCUUGGGCGGCUUCGCCUGUCACUGGGGGAGACAGACCAGACUCCAAUACGUAUCGAAUCUCAUGCCUGGGAGGGUGACGCCCGCUGCAGAGAAAACCCAAGUAGAGCAGAGGCAGACAUAUAGUGUUUGUUGAACUGAAGAGAUCUUCUUCUGACUCAGGACUCUGGGCAGGCAGUUGCAAGGUGGCCUGUCCCGGCCAUCACAAGAGCCUGUGUCCUCUGUUUCGGGUGCCCUGGGGGUCAGGCCUGGGUCAGGCGCAUUAUUGGGCAGAACAGUUGGAAUCUGCAUUUCUGCGCCUGAGAGCUUUGUCCAAAACCUCAGAAAGCUGCUCUUUCCUGAUCUCCGGCCCGAGUGCCGGGGAAUUAACAUGCCUGAAAGCAGCCAUGUUUCCAUGGACAGUUCCAGCCAUGGACUGGCGGGAACUGGUGUGGCAACGUCCCUACUCUUCGCCCUUUAGAGGGACAAAUCUGAGCUGUGUCUUCCCGAGUCUUCCUGUGGGAUUCAGCUCCCGGUGCCCACUCUGCUGGUUGCUCCUGAAUGCGCCCUGGACGACCUGCAUCCCCUCCCUCCGCCCUGACCUGUCUCCCCUGCACCUUCCCAGGUCAGUUACGUGCCCUAAAUCCUUGGCCCAGAGUCUGGGAAAUCUGGUCCAAGACAGAGACCCGGGUCAGACAGCUGAGACUGACGGCUUUUGCUUUUCUCUGAAUCCCCGAUAGUAUCACCUUGUGGGCGCCGCCUAGAACUCGCUGCCUCAGGACACCUUCGAGAGGCUCCCGCAGGACCUCUCCGCACAGGCACUGACCCGGUCUGCCAGGAGCAGCCUAACCAGGACUUCCCUGGGGCCCCUCGCGUCCGGCCCUAGACGUCCCUGGUGCUGCUGCCUAUGACCGCACGGAACUUGCCGACAAUCUUGCACCCCUGCAAGUGAGCUGCGCGUGAGGCCACUCUGACCGACGUGGGAGGAGCCUUCCUUCCCCAGGGGUGGAUGCUUCUGAGACUCGGGGUCCCACGACCCGCCUAUGGGAUGGGUCGCCCCCUUGACUACGCCCCCUUGAAUUUCCUCUGCCUCUUCUUUCCCCCCCUCCCUCACCUCUGUUCCCAGGGUGAUGUUUCCACAUCAACUACUCACAUACACGGCACGGUCUCAGCUCUGCCCUCAGAGGGACCCUGGCUAAGGCACCAAAGGGGGUGAGGAUUGUUCCCUGUGUUCCUGGUGGGUUUGCCAAGCCAGCUGUCCUGGGUCUGGGCUUGGCUUCACAGCACGCAGCCCCCCCCCCCCGCCCCGGUACCUUUUAUUUCUUCCCAGCCACCCCGAAUAGGCCGUGCGCUUGGAUGCUCCCGCGCCUUGGCUCAUGGCACUUCCUCCACUCCCAGUGUCCUUCCUCCCCAAGGGCAGGUCUGUCUGUAGUCACAUCUGCAUGUCGAGGUCUGCGUAGCCACCUCCGGCUCUCCUAGAUUGUGCUCCCUGAAGCCGCUGACCCCCCCUCCCUGGAGCACGCCCCGUAUCCUGGAGUACCCCCACCCCAAAAGCCACGGUGCCCUCACCGCCACCAGGCUCAGCUCAGACAGCUGUCAACACGCGUUUACGGACCCCCUGCCCUGUGUCCUGCACUGUGCCAGGUGCCACGGGCGGGGCGGGUGGCGGGAGCAGGGCCAGAGUCCAAUGGGAGGCUACCUCUGGCUAACCCAGCACCUCAGGGCUGUCCUGGUGCUGGGAAGGCCGAUGGCAGGGGGCAACCGGGUGGCAGGGACGCCUCUGUCCCUUAGGUAAUGUUACUUCCUCUGAAUGGAGGGCCGUCUCUAUACCGGGGACCUUCGCUGUGCCUGGCACACAGGAGAUAAUCAAGAAAUGAUAGAUGAAUGGGAAAUGAAGGAACGUAUAAAAAAAAAAAAGGAACACGCCUGGUACCUGUUUGCUGUGUCUGUUACAGCGUCGGCGUGCCUCCGUCUCGAUGCCCCUGAGGUACCCCCAGGCAUAAUCACUCACUCCUGAGGCCCCCUGGGCAAACAUCUGUCGCUACUUUGUGCUACAAUCUGCUUACAGGGAUUCUUCACCACGCAGGGAGGACCUGAAAGCAAGGCCGCCGGGCGGGGAUUUGUAGAAACCAGCCCCCGGGCGGCUCCCCGGACACCUGCUACCCUUGCCAUCCCUCAGCAAGCCUAUGAGGUGGGAGCCACUUUAUUUCACAGAAAUCGGGGGAAGCUGAGACUCCAGGAGGCUGAAUGGCAGGGUAAGACCACAGGCCGGUGGUGGUCGAGAAUGGCUGCACACCCAGACCUGGCUGCCCCUAACUCUGAAGUUGUCACUCGGCUCUCCUCCCCCAGCCCCCCGUACCCCACCCUCACCCCUACCGUAUUCUGAUGGGCUGUCGCUUCCUGCCCUGGGAGAUCUCACCUCCUGUGACUUGGGGUCCAAGGUGAGGCUCCUUCCUAAGGCCGUGAACAGAGGAGGGACCCCCUGACGCAUCUCUCAACGCCAGCCCCUGCCACUGCCUGAUGCCGCGUCAGCGCUCCGUGGACCGCGGGUACCUGCUUCGUUUGGGUGUUGAGGCCAGGCCCGGGCAUUACCCUCAGACGUGGCGAUUCGCCCCAGGGUUCCUAAGGAGAAGGAACUCCUGGUCCACUGCAGGAAGGACACACGGUUUACCCACGCACCCUUCUGCCGCCACCGUGCCCAACGGUGCGCUGACACCCUCGGUCCCCGGGAGCUCGUGGGUGACUGUGGCACCAGCCCAAGCCACGCGGGGCCACGAGGGAGCAGCGGUGGUGAGAUUCCGGUGCAAAGUGCGGACAUGGUGGCCCGGUGGCCCUGCCACGCCUCCGAGAAAGAGCACAGACCUCAGGGGUGGGGACGGGGACUUGAAAAUAGGCCCAGGCGGGAUCUUGAAGGAGACGCCAGUGCCCUGGGCCAUCAGCGAGGUCCUGGAGACGCUACCUUGGUGAGUGAUAGCGGGGCCUGGAGGGCUGGGGGAUCCAGGCCCCUUGGCUCUCCACGGCAGCUGGGGUUUCAGAGUGGCUUCCCACGUGUCCCGCAGAGGGGGCAGAGGGGACACCGGGCCUGCCCGGCACACACAGCGGGGAAUUCGGCCCCCUCCCAGCUCUGGGGACGGGGCUUUUCUGGAGCCAGGCCUCACCCUAGAUGUGUGCUGUUUGAAUUAACCCCCAUCCUUGCUGACAGUGGAGGGGACCUCAGAAAGGCCUGGGCCAUGCGGUCGGAGGUCCCCACUGCUUGUGGACGGCUGACAUUUUAUUUCCUGUUUCCCCUUUGCCAGUCCCCAGGGUGCCAGGGACACAUGGCACCACAGAGCCGACCUUCUGUAUCUUUUUUUCCCCCCAGAAAGCCCCAGGCCCUGCUGUAGGCGAGGAAACCCAGACUCUCCCUGGUUACAAGGCAGUUGGGCCCACACCCAUCUUCUCCCAUCAAAAGUGACCUAAGCCCCUCCUGCUGAGCCACCUGCCCUGGGUCCCUCCUGAUCCAGUGUGGCCCGCCAUGACUGCUAACUUUUAGACUCCCUGGUCCUUGCGGGCAGACUUGAAUUUCAGCUGCUCUCCUGCCUCGAGGGUCUCCCGCUGGCUCCCGUGCAGGUGGGAGGGCCAGCCUGCAGCCCCGGCCAGGCCCUGGGGCAGGGGCGGGAGCGAGAAGAUUCAGGGGUGACUUUUGGAGAACUCUGGCCCGCAGCAGACCAAGCCUUUUGAGCAAGGUUGCACAGAACGGGUCAGAGCCAGCCAGGUGACUCGGUCCCCGUGCGUCCCACAGAAGCACAGGGCGAGAACGAGAACUCACAAGCUAUCCCUCCCAAACGUGAGAAAGCAGAGAGCUGCUACAGCUUGAGCAUCACCAGCCUUGCUGAGCAGUAUGUGUUUACAAAGGCGGGAGCUCAGAAACGCUUCCAUUGUGGAGAAACAAAGCCUCAGAAAUAGGAAAUUCGAAAGCCAGCCCUCGGCCACUCCUGGAGGGAGCGGGCCUCCCUGGGGAUCGGCGCGGAGCGGCCUGGCCGGCUCGGUUCCCAGCGUAUCACGGUUUCACUGCACCUGUUGGCAUAGCUUUGUGGUGAUUCACUCCCGCCUCCUUCUCAGGCCUUGCUGCGUCCUAGCCCGAAGGCGAGCGCACCCGCGAGCACAGGGCCCUGGCGCCAAGCACCCCCCAAGCGCGCGUGGCCCCAAAGCCCCCCAUUUAACCUCUCUCGCAAGUGGUCCUGGUGACGCUGAGGCCAAGUGGGUUUUGCUGGCGGGUCUCAGGAGCCCGCUGGUCAGCGGGUGACCCACUCACCCCGUCCAGAUCGACCGGCUGCCCGGCACCUGCCUGCCAAAGUUCCCAAAGCCUCAGAGCAGAAUUAGCAUGGGAGGCGUCUAGUGAGUCCCCCCCCCCCCGCCCCGUUCUGUAGAUCGGGCUCUAGGAGUGGUGUUCAGAGAAGGGCAGGGUCUCUUUCUGCUUCAGUCACCUCCGAUUGUCCCCUGAACCUCCAGGCCCUGCCGCUCAGCAGACGAAUUGCCUGCGUGUCUGGGUAAGGAAUUGUGCUUAAGUUUGCGAUCUCGCUGGCAAGCUGCCUUGCCAUCCUCGCAGGGAAACGUCCACGCCUCGCGGGGACAGGAAGUGAGAACCCCUUCCUCACCCCCUGCAGGCCGACAAGCGGGCUGGGCUGCGGCCAGGCCCUUGCACACAGUCGCGGCUGUGGACGAGCGUCAUCACCCUCCGCGGCGCGUGCACAAGCACACCUGCCUGAACACUGGUUUUGUACAAGAGUGUGAUCGCCUCGCCCAGGCCGUGGCUGAUCUGCUUUCUCAGGCCCUCACCCCGGCCCUUGCAAGAGGUUGGGGCGUUUGGGGGGCAUCCGGCCGUUUCUCCACUGAGGCCAUCCCUGCAGUUUUUCUUCCUCUUAUCCCUUCCCUCCCCUCCCUUCCUCCCUGCCUGCUCUCUCACUGUCCCUCUCUUCCCAUCCCCCACCCCCCAAUCCCGAACAGCUGGACGCGUAUCUCUGCUUCUUUCUUCAGGACGGUUCCCUAACAGAGGCCGGGCUGGAACAAAGGGACACGCGUUGGAAGUCUUAAUGCCACGUUGUCCUCCGAAAGUGCAUGUGUGUUUUGUAAACCUCGGCUGUUAUAUCCCAUCCGCUCCGGUUGGCAGUAUGACAGAGGCACCCUGCAAGUGAUAGCAAAGCCUCCCUGGUGACCGUGACCGUCCCUGCCCCUGGGGACGCCCUGUGCUGGGACGUCCCUGUGCACCUGUAAUGCGUGUCCUUACCCUGAGCUCGCAAGUAACACUUAAGGAUGUUUUUCUGUUAAAGUAAAUAAGUGAACACUUAAAGUACACUAGGAUUCUAUAAAGAUCCAUAUACUAUGUGUUUUUUUUUUAACUUUGUUUAUUUUGAGUGAGAG